UAAAAAAAAAAAUAAGUAUACUUAUUUUUUAUUAAACAAAAUAUAUCGUAGAGUGCUUUUUAUAUGUCGAACUUAUGAAUAUAAGGAUAUAUACAUACAUAUAUACGUAUGAACAAAAAAAGAACAGAAGUGUAUAUAUUUAUUUAUCCCUGUAAAAGUUAUAAAUAUUAAAUUAGUAUAUUACAUUAUAAGCUACUUUUUAUUAAUAAUUUACAACUCAAUUUGUUAAUUUUAGAUUCAAAAGUUGGUAAAUCAAGCGUCUUCACAAAUAUGCGAAUAUGCAUAUACACAUCAACGCAUUAUAUAUAAAACCAUUUUUACAUAAAUAAUUAACAUUAUGUUUAGUAACUUUGUUACGAAAAUGCCAAAAAAUAUACCCAAAGAAACUGUUAAAAAUAAUAAAAAAAAGAACAAAAUAAAAAACAUUGUUCAAAUAUAUGUACACUUGAAAUUCAAGUUAGUCAACUCUGUUAAAACAUUUAUAUAAACAAGAUAUGUGUUCGUAUGUAUAUAUAUUAUAAACUGUAUAGGCCAAAACUAUUACUGAAAUUCUUCCUAAUUACUUAAAAAGAAAAAAUGAUACCUUUUUAAUAAACUUGCGUGUUAAGCCUAAUUCUAAGACCACUUCAAUAUGUAAUUAUUAUUUGUAUUACAUUUUAUUGUUGCACGUGCAAAUAUGUUCAUAAUGAUAAUGACCUAAUCACUUACAUUUUUUUUUUUUUUUUUUUUUUUUUUUUUGUGGUGGUACACAUUUUAGAUUUUAACUCAGAUAAAGAAGUAUUAAACAUUAAUAUAUCCGAACAGCCUAUAAAUAAUCAAUCUAAUGUAGCAAUAAUAAAUUACUUUUCAGAUAUACUACAUUUGAAGAAAAGAGAUAUAUCUAUAGUUUCGGGUUUAAAGUCAAGGGACAAGGUAAAAUCGGAAUACCCCAUCAGUAUAUGCAUAUAUAUGUUAAUGUGUAUGUAUAUUUCAAAUUUUAAUUAAUGCUUUGAACUAUACAGGUUUUAAUGGUUUCAAAUAUAUCGUUAGAAAAUUUAAAUAAUAAAAUUACAGAAAACGUUGAAUAAGUUUUAACA
rnacentral:lncRNA from 1 species